CUCUGGACAACGGAUGCUGCAAAGGAACUGCUGACGAGGGAGAUUAGAAGAAGCUGGACAGCAAAGGGAUUCUUAUCAAAGAAGAAGAGAGGUAGCACAAGGCUCCCGAGGAGGAAAACACAAGGUUAUCUUCUUUGAUCCAGCCAAAGAUAUCCAAGCUGCUGAGGUGACACCUGAUACAUACUAUACUGUUGGAGAAAUUGUUGUGAAGCUUAGCUUGUAUGAGAGUCAUAGUGAAGCUGUGGUGUCCUUUUUAAACUCACAAGGAUAAAAAGGUGUUACUAUGGGGCGGAGGAAAGGAGAGGAAAGAGCAAGGUGCCGUUUGCAAGCGAUGCAAAACUUACAUGUAUGAAUAGUUU